GUCUUGACAGGAAGUGUCUGUGCGCUGUGUGGGUGUCGGAACCGUUUGCUGCCAGCGACACCAAACAGCAGCAAGAACGAGGAGACGUCGUUAAUUUCCGGCCGCACGGGAGAUGAAGACGCUGUCAGCAGCUUAAAGCAGGAGCUGAGCGGCCAGCUAUGGGGGUUGUUCCUAGCAGAUGUGACGGUGGAGGUGAAGACAAUGACAACCAGCCUAUAGUUGAGAAUGAUGACCUCAAGAAGGGGGGCUACAGCAGGAGACACAGCUCAGGAGAGACAGUGGACUGUCCCACCUGCCAGGGUACUGGACGUAUACCUAGAGGUAAGGAGAGACU